CCUACGGGAGGCAGCAGUGAGGAAUAUUGGUCAAUGGGCGAGAGCCUGAACCAGCCAAGUCGCGUGAAGGAUGAAGGCUCUAUGGUUUGUAAACUUCUUUUAUAUGGGAAUAAAGUGAGGAACGUGUUCCUUUUUUUAUGUACCAUAUGAAUAAGCAUCGGCUAACUCCGUGCCAGCAGCCGCGGUAAUACGGAGGAUGCGGGCGUUAUCCGGAUUUAUUGGGUUUAAAGGGUGCGUAGGUGGGUAAUUAAGUAAGUGGGGAAAGUUUGUGGCUCAACCGUAAAAUUGCCGUUGAAACUGGUUGACUUGAGUAUAUUUGAGGUAGGCGGAAUGCGUGGUGUAGCGGUGAAAUGCAUAGAUAUCACGAAGAACUCCGAUUGCGAAGGCAGCUUACUAAACUAUAACUGACACUGAAGCACGAAAGCGUGGGGAUCAAACAGGAUUAGAUACCCUGGUAGUC
rnacentral:rRNA from 1 species